AGUCCUAAUGCAUGUUUCAUGCAACCAUAUAGAAAAAUAUAUUUAUAUAUGUAUAUUUAUUUAUUUACAAUAAUACUUGCAAACAUAUAAGUCUAGAUAUAAAUGAUGUUUUAAUUUAGAGUACAUGAUGAGGCGGUAUUGCAAAGAAACAAAAGGAUGUUUUCGUAAUAUUAAUAUAUAUAUAUAUUAUAUGUAUGAAUGGUUUAUAAUUUUUUUUAAACCAAUUAUAUGUAUGUUUUAUAGCUAAGCCGAUCUCCUAUAUUUUCAGCUGUUGAAAUGUCGGAAGAGAAGUGAAAAAAUGGCGAUUGAUCUUACGGAUGCAGUUUGGAUAUUGACGAGUGUCGCUCUAAGAAAGAGCAUAUAUAUGUUCGAGGAGUUUGCAGUCAUGUUGAUCGAUUUCCUUCCGGUUUUGGUGUCAACAAUCCGGUUUUCUCGUUUCAUUUUCAGUCACCCGACGCCUGUUUCUGCAGGCCGCAGGUACUCUCCCAUGUCAUCAAUGGUGGCUCGACACGAUCGGUAGUAGUCCUGCAAAGUUCAAGCCUUCAUGCUCAUGUGUUGGUGGCUAUCUAUCUCCUGUUGAAAUGUCGGAAGAGAAGUGAAAAAAAUGGCGAUUGAUCUUACGGAUGCAGUUUGGAUAUUGACGAGUGUCGCUCUAAGAAAGAGCAUAUAUAUAUUCGAGGAGUUUGCAGUCAUGUUGAUCAAUUUCGUUCCAGUUUUGGUGUCAACAAUCCGGUUUUCUCGUUUCAUUUUCAGUCACCCGACGCCUGUUUCUGCAGGCCGCAGGUACUCUCCCAUGUCAACAAUGGUGGCUCGACACGAUCGGUAGUAGUCCUGCAAAGUUCAAGCCUUCAUGCUCAUGUGUUGGUGGCUAUCUAUCUCGUAAGUUUGGUUUUUAUCUUUUUUCUUGUUUUGCCUCGUGCUUUGAGUCAUGAGUUCAUUUUAAGGCUACGAUUUGCAAAUAAAUGUGGAAUAUUAAUCCCAGAGACAUAUAUAGUUCUCUUCUUAAUCUGUGCGCAUAAUAAUGCAGAAUGUAGUUCUACUUCUCUUUGAGUACUUCUCAGCUUGGUGUGAUUUUGGAGGAUUUGUAUUCUGGUUUAAUUGUGUUAUGUGCCUCAGUGCUAUA